AUGGACCAAUCCAUCCCUUUUUCCCGUGCAUAUGCAUCGGACUCCGAUGACGAUGGUCACGAUGAAGAAGUUGAUGAGGAGGGGUUCAUGCCCAAGGAGGCCCAAGCAUUCAAGAAGGUAUUUGGGCGGGAUCACAAGACACCAUUGUUCAAGGAUCUUAGUCUCGCGGAUGAAGCCGUUGUGGAUGGUGGCAAAUGCAUAUCUCUUGGAGCUAGGCCAAGUUAUCACCGUGAUUUGGAAGACGGCAAGAACGGGAUAUAUCCCGGUUGUGAGUUUCAAUCCUUUUUGGAAUUGAAGAUGUGGCUCGACAACUACUCGGUUACGCAUUAUUGUCCAAAUAAAGUGGCCAACUCGGACGUCAAAGUGCGUUACACGGUCAAAUGUGAAGUGCCAACAUGUCCACGGAUUGUGCGUGCAAGGCCAUGGAAAGGAGGUCCCACUUGGCGCGUAGUGAGUUGUCUACCAAGUCACAUGUGCCGGCACAAGAAUGUGGAUGGCAAGGUUGUGUACCAACUGUUGGGGAACGUUGCAGAAAAUAAAAAAAUUCCUACAUUUCACCAAGAUCAAUCUAUGAGUUCAUCUAGCAACGAGAGAGAGGAGUGCAUCUACAUACCCUUGUAG
rnacentral:rRNA from 1 species